AGUACCUUUUCCGUCCAUCCCAGGUACAGUAGGUGUUAAUUGCUACGGCGAGCGGUGGGAGCUGCCGAGUCCAUCCACUCACCCCAAGAACAGAGCUGGCGGCAGAGGAAGCUGUCGUCGUCCAUCCACUACACCCACUUCUACGAUUCAGUCCGAGUAAGCUGCCCUCGUUGCGGCCAUGGAAUUCCUGAUGCAGCCCAUUCGCAGGACGACAGUGCUAUAGGAGGUUAACGACAGUGAAAUCCCCCUGGAGCCACUGAGAUACCUGGUGCCAGUGCAGCUGGUGGAGUAGCAGCAAUCGAUGGUGGAAGCAGGGAGCGCGAAUGGCCAGAUCUGCGCUCAGCAGGGGAGGAUGGCGGCGGAGGGAGCGGAUCCUCCACCGGCGUCUGGACUGUCGGCUUGAACGGUGAACCCGCAGGCCCUAGGCUAGCGGAAAAAGGGUGCGAGUUGGUGCUGCUGCUCCAGGAAGAACGCGUGUCCGGACCGCACGUCGGCAUUGGAGAAAACGAUCCGGUCUUUUGCAGAUAAUCCGGUCUUUUGGAGGAACGAGUUUUGACUCGCUGGGGAAGUGUAUGAUUUCUACACUUUGUACUAGUUAACUGCCCGUGGGUUGAAACGGGGCCAUACAUAUUUUUAUUUUUAUUUUUUGCGGGCGACAUAUUUUAGGGGUUUAACAUCAAUUGUAUCAAACAUGU